rnacentral:misc_RNA from 1 species
ACGGUGCAGCCAUCGGCAGCGGCAUCACCUGCGGCGGCAGCGGUCCGACCACGAGAACGCUCGUCCGACACCGACGCGAGAUCGUUUGGGUUUUGCGGUCGGGUGGUAUUUUCGCGUAAGGAUCGUAUGGUGUUUGGCUUUAGGGCUGGCUGCGAUCAUGUGGCACUCGGGUGGCAUGGGCAGCCACGGCGGUGGCUGGAUGAAGCUGAUGGGCAUGGUGCACAGGGACCGGAGAUCGGCGCAACGACAUGUACAGGACGCCGCUACAGCAUUAUUGGCUCCCAUCGACAGGUCACUGCCGAAACUCAGUACCCAAGACGAAGACGGCUGUGGUCCAGGGGCAAGUCUUGGAACAGGCCUCACACACGGUCAUCCUCAACACUGUUCGGGGAGCGCGACAUUCGAACCAAUUCCGCACGAUCACGACUUCUGCGAAAGAGUAACAAUCAACGUGAGCGGUAUGAGGUUCGAGACGCAACUGCGGACAUUGAACCAGUUCCCGGACACGCUGCUGGGCGACCCGUGUCGGCGGAUGCGGUACUUCGACCCGUUGCGCAACGAGUACUUCUUCGACAGGAACCGACCAACGUUCGACGCCAUUCUCUACUAUUACCAGAGCGGUGGCCGACUGAGGAGGCCGACUACGGUGCCGUUGGACGUGUUCUCCGAAGAGAUCAAGUUCUACGAACUCGGCGAACUGGCUACCAAUAAAUUUAGGGAAGAAGAGGGUUUUAUAAAAGAAGAAGAGAAACCACUGCCAAAACCCGAGUUCCAACGGAAAGUGUGGCUACUGUUCGAGUACCCGGAGAGCUCCCAAGCCGCUCGGGUGGUGGCCAUCAUAUCCGUGUUCGUCAUAUUGCUGUCCAUAGUGAUAUUCUGUCUGGAAACUUUGCCAGAGUUUAAACACUACAAAGUGUUCAACACGACGACCAACGGUACGAAGAUUGAGGAGGACGAGGUGCCUGACAUCACCGAUCCGUUCUUUUUGAUUGAGACCAUAUGUAUCGUGUGGUUCACGUUCGAGCUGUCCGUCCGCUUUCUCGCCUGCCCUAAUAAAUUGCACUUCUUCAAAGACGUGAUGAAUACGAUUGACAUAAUCGCUAUAAUACCGUACUUCAUCACGUUGGCCACAGUGAUUGCUGAGGAGGAGGACCCCACGAUGAACCUGCCCAAAGCGCCGCAGAAUCCGCAAGACAAGAGCACCAACCAGGCCAUGUCGUUGGCCAUACUCAGGGUCAUCCGGCUCGUGAGGGUUUUCAGGAUAUUCAAACUGUCCCGACAUUCCAAGGGAUUGCAAAUUCUUGGGCGCACCCUAAAAGCCUCUAUGCGAGAACUGGGACUGCUCAUAUUUUUCUUGUUUAUCGGUGUGGUGCUAUUCUCGAGCGCGGUGUACUUCGCCGAAGCCGGCUCAGAGAAUUCCUUCUUCAAGUCCAUCCCGGACGCAUUCUGGUGGGCUGUUGUUACCAUGACGACUGUGGGCUAUGGUGACAUGACGUAUGAUACCAGUGGGCGUGUGGGGGAAAAUUGUCGGUUCACUGUGCGCGAUUGCCGGCGUGCUCACAAUCGCACUGCCCGUGCCCGUCAUCGUGUCCAACUUCAACUAUUUCUAUCACAGAGAGACUGACCAAGAAGACAUGCAAUCGCAGAACUUCAACCACGUCACCAGCUGCCCUUAUCUUCCCGGUACUUUAGGUCAACACAUGGUGAAAUAUCCGUCGGGUGGUGACUCGACGUCGGACCUGAUGGAUUUGGAGUCAGCGGAUAAUUGUCUGCUGGACGCGGAGCUGGACGAACCGCCUCUGUCGUUGCCGCCGCCGCAGCAACCAAAAA